AUGAUAGAGUGCCUGCCAGAGAGAGCCCAGGGCCUCCAGGCUGAGCCAGCUCCUUUACAGCCAUACUCAGAGUCCGCCAGCUGGAGCAGAUUGAAACUGCAGGGAAGCGGAAGGAGGCAGAGCCAGGCUGAAGUCAUCUUCCUGCUUCCUAGAGAGGCCAGAGAGAAGGGGGAGAGGAGCCACGAGGAUGCCACACCCCAAGUCACCCAGAUGUGUGGUUUCCCUUUCUCUGAAUUCAGAACAUCAGAUUAUCCUUUCCAAAAGAGUCUGGCAUGGGAUCCAGGCUGGGCCAACAGAGGGGCCUGUAUCACACUGAGUGGGACACGGGGGCUCUCACAUUGUCCCCUGGGAAGUACAGGAGAUGUACUAACAGUGCAAGCAAGCUGGCUGAAGCACUCGUAGAGGUUUCAUUGUAGAUGAUAUCCCAUAGGGCCUUUGUCCCUGACUUUGAACCCCACUCUUAGACUUCAUGAUGGUCUGUGAGCUGUCCUCUAUCUUUGAGGACAUCACCUGCUGAAUUCACAAUCUGUGCCUGUGCCUUGAAACUAGGAACCAAGGCGGGUCUGCUGUCACUGAGACACUGGCUUGCUUCUCAGCGGUUCUCACUGAGAGUAAAAGUUGAUGCCAAGAGGUAGAAGCAGAUAUGAGGAAGGCUCAAGUGCUCAUGUCUGUUGAGGAAGACUGAGGUGCUCAUGUCUGUUGAGGAAGACUCAAGUGCUCAUGUCUGUUGAGGAAGGCUCAGGUGAUAAUGUCGAUUGCUGGCUCCUCAGGGGUUGAGGAAGGUGACAUGAGAUGUACGUUCAGCCUCAAGAAGGAACUAUGCACGUUAGUCUUCACUUCUUCAAACCCACCCCAGCGCCAGAUCACUUCCCCCACUACAGCUCAAUUGUCACAUGGUCUAGGAGACUCCAGGUCUGAAGAAGUCACAAUUUCCACACCAUGUAUGCUUCUAGCCAGAAUCUCUGCUUACUACUUCAGUUUAAUGGAGUGAAUUGUUUGUCUUUCCUAUAAUAAUGUGACUAUAACUCAAGCAAGAAAGCUUGAUGAUCUAUUAAAUUCAUUGCACCUGUCAGUCUGGAUUUCCAAACAUAG
rnacentral:lncRNA from 1 species